CAGCAGCCGCGGUAAUACGGAGGGAGCUAGCGUUGUUCGGAAUUACUGGGCGUAAAGGGCGUGUAGGCGGCCUGGGGCGUCCCAUGUGAAAGGCCACGGCUCAACCGUGGAGGAGCGUGGGAUACGCUCAGGCUAGAGGGUGGGAGAGGGUGGUGGAAUUCCCGGAGUAGCGGUGAAAUGCGCAGAUAUCGGGGGGAACGCCGAUGGCGAAGGCAGCCACCUGGUCCACUUCUGACGCUGAGGCGCGAAAGCGUGGGGAGCAAACAGGAUUAGAUACCCCCGUAGUCCCUGUCUCUUAUAC
rnacentral:rRNA from 1 species